rnacentral:rRNA from 1 species
UACGUAGGGACCGAGCGUUGCCCGGAAUCAUUGGGCGUAAAGAGCGUGUAGGCGGCCAGGUAGGUCUGCUGUGAAAACUCGAGGCUUAACCUCGAGAUGUCGGCGGAAACCAUCUGGCUAGAGUCCGGAAGAGGAGAGUGGAAUUCCUGGUGUAGCGGUGAAAUGCGCAGAUAUCAGGAAGAACACCCGUGGCGAAGGCGGCUCUCUGGGACGGUACUGACGCUGAGACGCGAAAGCGUGGGGAGCGAACAGG